CGGCAAAAGCUCAAAUUUGAAAUCUGACGUUCAUAUUGACGUUCGAGUUGUAAUUUGGAGGAGCGCCUUCGGGAACAGCGACGCCGUUCUAAGUUCUUCUGGAACUGGACAUCACAGAGGGUGAGAAUCCCGUGCCUGGGCGGCAGUCUGGUUCCCAUACGAAGCGUUUCCGACGAGUCGAGUUGUUUGGGAAUGCAGCUCAAAAUGGGUGGUAAAUUUCAUCUAAAGCUAAAUACAGGCGAGAGACCGAUAGCGCACAAGUAGAGUGAUCGAAAGAUGAAAAGCACUUUGAAAAGAGAGUUAAAAAGUACGUGAAAUUGUUGAAAGGGAAGCGCUUGAGAUUGAACGAUCGACAGGAUGGAGAUUGUUUCGGGGGCUUGGUUUACGCCGGGGCCUUGGAAUAACUCCUCUCCAUCCUCCCUCCAACCACCAUCGGUUCCGGCGGCGAGAAAAACGGCUGGGAAAUGUGGCUCCCCUUGGGGAGUGUUUAUAGACCUAACCGAUUUGCGCCAGCUGGGAUCGAGGCACAGAGCGAGCUGGGGUGUGUCAAAUACCCCAUGACCUCAAGGAUGCGUGGCAUGUCGAUCUUAAGCGACCCG
rnacentral:rRNA from 1 species